CCUACGGGAGGCAGCAGUGGGGAAUAUUGCGCAAUGGGCGAAAGCCUGACGCAGCGACGCCGCGUGAGGGAUGAAGGUCUUCGGAUCGUAAACCUCUGUCAGCAGGGAAGAACGGUCACUUUGCUAAUCAGCAGUGAAUUGACGGUACCUGCAAAGGAAGCACGGGCUAACGACGGGCCAGCAGCCGCGGUAAUACGGAGGGUGCAAGCGUUAAUCGGAAUUACUGGGCGUAAAGCGCUCGUAGGCGGUAUGGCAAGUCAAGGGUGAAAUCCACGCGCUCAACGUCGGAACUGCCUUUGAAACUGGAAAGCUGGAGUGUGGGAGAGGAUGGUGGAAUUCCAGGUGUAGGAGUGAAAUCCGUAGAUAUCUGGAGGAACAUCAGUGGCGAAGGCGACUAUCUGGCACAUAACUGACGCUGAGGAGCGAAAGCGUGGGUAGCAAACAGGAUUAGAUACCCCUGUAGUC
rnacentral:rRNA from 1 species